rnacentral:rRNA from 1 species
UACGGGGGGAGCAAGCGUUGUUCGGAUUUACUGGGCGUAAAGGGCGCGUAGGCGGCCACCGCAAGUCAAUUGUGAAAUCUCCGGGCUUAACUCGGAAAGGUCAACUGAUACUGCGGGGCUAGAGUGCGGAAGGGGCAACUGGAAUUCUCGGUGUAGCGGUGAAAUGCGUAGAUAUCAAGAGGAACACCUGCGGCGAAGGCGGGUUGCUGGGCCGACACUGACGCUGAGGCGCGAAGCCAGGGGAGCAAACGGG